rnacentral:tRNA from 1 species
GCUCAGAUAGCUUAAACAAAGCAUCGGUCUUGUAAACCGAAGAUUGGGAAAUUACUCUUCCCUCUUAGUA